GCUGGAGGGAAGGGUCCGCCUCCAAGGCGGCCGGCGCCUGCGCCGCGGGGCUCCAGUCAGGACGCGCAUUCUCGCACCCUCCCUCAGCCGCGCGCGCCCGGCGGGCGUGGGAGGAGGCGGGGAACCGGGGAGGGGCGGGUGUCGCAGGAGGGAAGAGCGAACCGGAGAGCGUCGUCCUGAGAGCAGUGAAGGCGGCGAAGUGGCGGACCGCUUCUCCCGCUUCUACGAGGACCGAGACUUCCCGGAGCCUGCCCCUCUCUCCAUCUCAGUGAUGAUGCUCUAAGUGAUUAAGAGUUGAUUCUGGAGCCAGGCUGCCUGGAUUUGAACCCAGGUCUG
rnacentral:lncRNA from 1 species